rnacentral:rRNA from 1 species
AACGCUGGCGGCGUGCCUAACACAUGCAAGUCGAACGCGAAAGCCCCGCAAGGGGUGAGUAGAGUGGCAAACGGGUGAGUAACACGUGGGUGACCUGCCUCAGAGUGGGGGAUAACGACCCGAAAGGGUCGCUAAUACCGCAUAACAUCCUGCCUUUGGAUAGGUGGAGAUCAAAGCCGGGGAUCGCAAGACCUGGCGCUUUAAGAGGGGCCCGCGGCCGAUUAGCUAGUUGGUGAGGUAACGGCUCACCAAGGCAACGAUCGGUAUCCGGCCUGAGAGGGCGGACGGACACACUGGGACUGAGACACGGCCCAGACUCCUACGGGAGGCAGCAGUGGGGAAUUGUUCGCAAUGGGCGCAAGCCUGACGACGCAACGCCGCGUGGAGGAUGAAGAUCUUCGGGUCGUAAACUCCUUUCGAUCGGGAAGAACGGCUUCCGGGUGAACAAUCCGGGAGAGUG